rnacentral:rRNA from 1 species
GCAAGUGGAGUAGUUAAGGAAAAAUAAAAAACAUGGCGGUUUUCUAUCAAAUUAGAGGGACAUGUGUUGAAAACGAAUCUGCACGAAUAAUUGUUCUUUUUCUUGAGAUCAUUCUAUAUACCGCUGUCUGAAAGAUUUUUUAAAAAAAAAUAUCUUUUUUCUAGAUAUAAGGCAAGUAAAGGUGUAGACUAUGAAAAAGAAGGUAUGUGUUCCGUUAUUAGUUAUGGAGGAUAGAAAUAUUCAAAAAAGAAUUUAACAGUAAAGUUUGUUUAUAAAACAAGUUUGAAUAGGAAAUGGAAAGUGUACACA